rnacentral:rRNA from 1 species
GUGAAAUUGUUGAAAGGGAAACGAUUGAAGCCAGUCGUACUUACGGGUAAUCAGCCUUUCGGGAGCGAUUCUGUGGGUUUUGAGGAGCUUCACGGCCCUCGGGUCUGCAUAUUCGUACCCCUUGGGUGUACUUUCCCGGUGGUAGGUUAACAUCAAUUUCGGUCGUUAUAAAAUGACUGGAGGAAUGUAGCUUCGACCUCGGUUGAAGUGUUAUAGCCUUUGGUAGAUGUAAUGAUUGGGAUUGAGGAUUGCAACGGAUACCCUCUGGGCUAUUCGUCUGAUCUCUGGAAGUUACCUUGGUGUCGAAAGCGUGCUUACGAUAUUAAGGUUGACGGCCAAUAGGUUAGAACGUGAUUAAAUUCGUUAAGGAUGUUGACGUAAUGGCUUUAAACGAC